rfam:Danio rerio chromosome 4, GRCz11 reference primary assembly.
ACCCGGUUAGCUCAGUCGGUAGAGCAUAAGACUCUUAAUCUCAGAGUCCUGGGUUAGAUCCCCACGUUGGGCA